AUUGAACGCUGGCGGCAUGCCUUACACAUGCAAGUCGAGCGAUGAAGUUUCCUUCGGGAAAUGGAUUAGCGGCGGACGGGUGAGUAACACGUGGGUAACCUGCCUCAUAGAGUGGAAUAGCCUUUCGAAAGGAAGAUUAAUACCGCAUAAUGUUGAAAGAUGGCAUCAUCAUUCAACCAAAGGAGCAAUCCGCUAUGAGAUGGACCCGCGGCGCAUUAGCUAGUUGGUGGGGUAACGGCCUACCAAGGCGACGAUGCGUAGCCGACCUGAGAGGGUGAUCGGCCACAUUGGGACUGAGACACGGCCCAGACUCCUACGGGAGGCAGCAGUGGGGAAUAUUGCACAAUGGGGGAAACCCUGAUGCAGCAACACCGCGUGAGUGAUGAAGGUUUUCGGAUCGUAAAGCUCUGUCUUUGGGGAAGAUAAUGACGGUACCCAAGGAGGAAGCCACGGCUAACUACGUGCCAGCAGCCGCGGUAAUAC
rnacentral:rRNA from 1 species